rnacentral:rRNA from 1 species
UUGAACGCUGGCGGCCUGCCUUACACAUGCAAGUCGAACGGCAGCACGGGUGCUUGCACCUGGUGGCGAGUGGCGAACGGGUGAGUAAUACAUCGGAACAUGUCCUGUAGUGGGGGAUAGCCCGGCGAAAGCCGGAUUAAUACCGCAUACGAUCUACGGAUGAAAGCGGGGGACCUUCGGGCCUCGCGCUAUAGGGUUGGCCGAUGGCUGAUUAGCUAGUUGGUGGGGUAAAGGCCUACCAAGGCGACGAUCAGUAGCUGGUCUGAGAGGACGACCAGCCACACUGGGACUGAGACACGGCCCAGACUCCUACGGGAGGCAGCAGUGGGGAAUUUUGGACAAUGGGCGAAAGCCUGAUCCAGCAAUGCCGCGUGUGUGAAGAAGGCCUUCGGGUUGUAAAGCACUUUUGUCCGGAAAGAAAUCCUUGGCCCUAAUACGGUCGGGGGAUGACGGUACCGGAAGAAUAAGCACCGGCUAACUACGUG